rnacentral:pre_miRNA from 1 species
GAAUUUUUUAUCACUCUAACAACUUUGAAAUUCGAUCUGAUAUAAAAUAUUAUAAGCUCGAUAUUUAAAGUGGUUUUCGUGAUAUUUUUCGUCC